GACGAACGCUGGCGGUGUGCUUAACACAUGCAAGUCGAACGGUAAGGCCCUUUCGGGGGUACACGAGUGGCGAACGGGUGAGUAACACGUGAGUAACCUGCCCUCAUCUCUGGGAUAACAGUCGGAAACGGUUGCUAAUACUGGAUAUGAGCUUGCAAGGCAUCUUGUGGGUUGGAAAGAUUUUUUUGGUUGGGGAUGGACUCGCGGCCUAUCAGCUUGUUGGUGAGGUAGUGGCUCACCAAGGCUUCGACGGGUAGCCGGCCUGAGAGGGCGACCGGCCACAUUGGGACUGAGAUACGGCCCAAACUCCUACGGGAGGCAGCAGUGGGGAAUAUUGCACAAUGGACGGAGGUCUGAUGCAGCAACGCCGCGUGCGGGAUGACGGCCUUCGGGUUGUAAACCGCUUUCAAUUGUGACGAAGCUUUUUGUGACGGUAGCAGUAGAAGAAGCACCGGCUAACUACGUG
rnacentral:rRNA from 1 species